UCCUUAGAUGUUCUGGGCGGCCCGCGCACUACAAUGGCGCUUUCAGCGAGUUCCUAUGUUGAAUUUUCCUGGGUAUUCUUGGAAGCGGCGUCUUGACUUGGGAUAGAUCCUUGUAAUUGUUGGUUUUGAACGAGGAAUUCCUUGUAAUCGCGGUUGAUCAGCUCGCGUUGAAUACGUCCCUGCCCUUUGUACACACCGCCCGUCGCUCCUACCGAUGAAUCGUCCGGUGAAGUUCACAGAGUGGCGGUUCGUGGAGUUGCUCGCGAAGUGAAAUGGACCUCACGAUUUAGAGGAAGGAGAAGUCGUAACA
rnacentral:rRNA from 1 species